CUCGGGAUGUCUAUGUUUUUGUCUCGGGCUCGUGAUUCUGUCGAUAUUAUGUCUUGUUUAUUUUCUGUUUGUACUGAGAUUCUUCGUGAUGUGUUUUAUACCAUUCAUUCCUGUUAUGUAGGAUGUUAUCUACUUAGAGACUGGUGUGGAGGACGGCACCUACCCUUACACAUGAACAUUGAUUGAAGCUGUCUGGUACAUUAUCAGUAGAGUACAGCGCACUGUACGCCCGAUCAGAGAAGUUUGUCGAAAAAGUAGCAGUGAAUAAUAGGAAGGACAUAUUGUGUCACGGUGUUUGAUAAAAGGUGUUGUUCCUCUGGAAACUUUUUUUGAUCGUCUUCUCUGGGAUAGCUGGAAAUAACCUCUCUGAAAUACAAGAAUGGAACAAGUUCUCAUUCUCAGCUGAUCAGGGACUUGUGUGAAGGAGGAGUGUUAGUGCGGAGAAGAAUUUGUCUCGGCCCAUCAUGACCUGCUGGUGGAGGCUGGACACUUCAAUAAACAUUGCUGUGGUUUUCCUGGGGUGUACCAAUCAUUUGUAGUCAUUAUUUCCCACAUGAAGAGUCAGAGGAGUAUUCAUUUUUCUAGUAAUAAGUUGAGACUCUACAGAGCAUGAAGGCAGAUAUUACAGUUACCUGCCUUAGACAAUAUGAAUUGUAAUAUAGCACUUGCUAGUUAUGUAAUUUCAGAUGAUGCUGUUUGAAUGCUUUUAGUCUCGUCACUAGUCACAUUAAGACAUUAGCUAUAACUGCAUAUAUUGCCUUUACAUUAAUUAUCUGCAUAGAACUAAACAUUUAAUAGUAGAUUUCAUGUAGUACUACAUGACUCUCUAGGAAUGCAUUUUAGGUCACCUGAGUCACUCGAGUGACCUAUUGGUAUUGUUCUGCGUCCGUUGUCGUGCAUCGUCCACCUACAAUUGAACAAAUUUUAUACACCCGUCUUAGGACGGAUCGUAUUAUGAACAGCAAUGUGUACGUUUGUCAGUCCAUUUGGGGGUUCCUGUUUCUAUUUUUAUUUUUCUAUCAAGUAUUAAACCGUUAUUGUGUAGUUUCUUUAUGGGUCACUCUUGAUCAUGUUUCAGCUUUGACUGAUUUCAGUUUUCAAGUAAGGAUUAAGUUAUUUUACAGUUUUUGUUUUGGAACGAAAGAUGUACGUGUAGGGGAAUGGGUAGUUUAUUCUAGGAGGGACCAAACUUGGCAUGUAGUGUAUAUGUGUAAAACAUUGAAUAUCAUCUUCUUUAAUGUUAUCGAUGGACACCACAAUUAUAAAUUUCAAGAUUCUGGGGUAAGGAUUUGGGUAUCAGAGUGGGACCUGAAUAAUAUUUGUGAUUUAUUGUCUUUCACAUAUCAAAGUACCCUUACUACCGACAAAUGCAUAUAGGAAAAACAAAAAAUGUACAGUAUACCAAAAAUUGUAAAUCUCACAACCAUAGGUUACACAUCAGGUGUGAGUCAAUAAUUCAAUGCUCCUCUGUAAGGUUCAAGAUCUAGGGCAGGGUUAAUGUAGGAACAUUGUUGUAGAUUUCUUAGUCUUAGUCAUAUCUUUAACUAAUAGGCCUUUCCUAAAACGUGAGUUAUCUCUCUUUGUAUUCUUACAUUUAGUGUGAAUAUUUCCGGGUACAUGUAGUUACACAAUCAGACUGCUCAUAUAUUUUAAGAGUUAUAUUAAUAUAGCAUUAUUAGUAUAAAUGCUGUUUAAAAUCGAAAACAGUUGAAAUCAUUUGUACGAGAGAGUAAGAAAAUGUUAAUGGAAACAACAAAGAAUUUCUUGAUAGAGUUGGGUGUGAUUUUUCGGGGUCUGGGGAAUUUUGAAAAUUGAAUAGGAAAUCACGACGGCAUUCAUUUGUUUACAUAUGUCUCCAAUAACGACUGACAUAAUCAUAUUGCUCAAAAGAUGAUGGCAACUCAUCAACUCAAAUUUGGGGUUUUUACAAGGAUCGACACGUCACGUGCAUUGAUCUUGCAUAUCAUGGUACCUCCUCCCCCCUUCUAAAAUGAAUUUUUGAAAAUAUAAAUUAGGAAAUCAGUGUUCUCACUGUUUUACCAGGGCUAAAAUUAUCCCACCACUACCAAUCAACUCUUUCAAAAAUAAACCAGAUUGCAAUUUUGGGUAACUUUCUCCAAAUUAUUUUGUGUGGAAAUCAUUUGCACAUGUGCAACAUGAAGAUUGGAUGGUUAAUAUCAACUGAUAUGUUUAAAAUGCACUAAAAUAGGUAAUUAAAUAAAUUAAAAAAAGCAUUACUUUUGUUCAAUAUUGCUCGAUUGAUAUAAAUUAUUUUCAUAGACAUGUGUGAUCCCGUGGGGGGGGGGGGGUAUAGUCCAAAUGUACUCUCUGGGGGAUAGGUAAGUUUAACCCCCAAUAGAAUGUCUUUGACGUCUCUAUCUAAUUCCCUCUUUUAGUCGUUUUAGCCCCCUUCAAAUGUACUUGAUUAUGUAUAGGUACAUAUAGUGUCAUAACAGAAAUUGCAAUGGCAGAUAUAGAUCCCCCUUUUCGCCACAAAUUUACAAAAUAAUUCGAGUACAACUCCAAAAUUGAUAUUUUACCCAAAUGGCUGUAUUUACAGGUACAUACUUUUCCCAACUUAUUUAAUGUAUUGCUAUAAAUUCAGGGGGUUCGACUAUAGUUAUUUUAUUUUCAAAACAUUGCAUGUGUAAAUGUCACUUUAAAGAUGGUUUGUGACAAUGAAUUUCUUUAUGGUUCUACUUGUAUUUGAAACUGUAUAAAGUUUGUGGACAGACAGCUGGAAAUCUGUCAGUGGCCUCUCAUUUACAACUUAGUACAGGCUUGGUUAAAUUUUACUUGCCAAUCGAAGGAGGUGGACAUUUUCAGAAUGCAGUGGUGUCAGUCCGACAUACCUAGAUGUACAUCGUGGCAUAACUUUCAUCGCUGAAUGUACUACAUUAAUAUUGAACAAGUAACAUCUGAUAUUUUAUUAUAAAUCUGACUGCAUUAAAACAUGGGGUAAAAAUCCUCAGGAAAUGUAUGCUAUAUAUUGUGAUAUAUACUAAUUUCAGUCAUAAAACACGUGAAAUCCUGGAGGGGGGUAGUUAGAAUAAUCUAAUUGCGUCUCAGGACAGGCCCGUCGUAGGAAAUUGCAUCACUUUAACGAUAGAACAUUCUAAUGGGAAAGGGAUGUCCUCUAUUUACAACAUUUAUUUCUUUUAUUCUUUUUUGCAAAGUUGGUUAUUUUUACGUGUAUGAAGGAAACAUAUGCAUUGUGAUUUUUUAUUAACGUUAAUAUAUUUGUUAGCUUGGUUGCUGUAAAAUUAUUCAGUAAUAUCUUUGCGGCCUUCUGCACCGUUGAUAAUGACGCUUCUCGAAUAUACUACCAGGAAGUCUUGAACUACUGUUAUGCAAGCGCACUACCUUCCGGAUCAAGGGAAGAUAACUCAUGUUUUCAUAUUGGCCUAUACUCAGGUGACCGAUGAGGCCUGUGAGUCUCCGGUUUACAUGUUGUCAUGAAACAGACAACAAGCUGGCUUACCAAACUUGUCUUGAAAAAUACACUGAACAAAAUUUUACUUUCCUGUCUGAUUUCUGGUCAUUCCAGCACUCAUUGCCACCUUGGUUUUUCAGCUUUCUGGGCUUCAAACGAUGGUGAGACAAUGACUGCAGGAUCAUUUCCUGUCUCUUAAAAGCAGAAGUGGCCAGGAUACCUUACCAACCGAUCCAUUUUUAGGGAUGGUGUUUUGUAUCGAGCUGGGUAGCAGUUACUGGAGAUGUCCAGCUGAUUGAUGAGGAUAAUUUCCCCGAUCCGCUGACAUAAUUAGAUAUGAAAAUCUCAACUGCUAUAGAACAUGUCAGAUUGAAAGAGCAUGGUAAAUAUUUGGAAAUGGUGGGGGCUACUGCGACAGAUUCAUACUCACCAUUGAAGCCUCAUCCAAAAUGUGUAAAAGCCUAAAUCAUGUGACUAUUUGUGCGGGAAUCUACUUGGGGCCACUCUGAUCAGAGGGGAGAUGAAUUUGUGAAAAUACAUUCACGACGUUUAGAAAUAUCUUCUCCAGAACAACGCUGCCAAUUUUGACCAAUCUUGACACAAAUCAUUCUUAUGAGAAGGACGGUGGAGAUUUAAAUACCUGUUGUGAUGUUAUUGAUUGUAAACAGAAGACGGUGACCUUGGAUCUGAAGAUCACUCUCUGUUAUAGUACAUGUACUACAAAUCUAACAGUGUGACACUCAGCCACAAAGAGGUUGUCUCUGAUGUCCACACAUAAACCCCAUGGACCGACUAAAUCACAGUGAAUGUAACGGAGGAACUGUCCGUCCUGAUCUAGGAUGUGGAUACGGUGAUUGUAAUAGUCUGCUGUCAGGAUGUGACUCUGGCUGUCUGUAGUGAUGCCGUAUGGUUUAAAUGAGUGCUUGGUAUUAGAGGGAUGACCAGUGUAUCUAAAUCGGAGUUUUCCUGACUGAUUGACCACCACUACUGCACUAGCUGUACAGUCAGCCACACAGAUAUCCAGGUUCCUGUUCUCACUGAGGUAUUUAAUGUUAUAACGACCAGAUGAGUAGAGAGGACGACCCUGAUCAUCAAACUGAAUGCUUUGUGUCUCUGUGGAGCCGGAGUAACGCACGACUUUGGAUUGUUUUCUAUCAUCACUGAUCAUGGUAACCAGGAGAUUGUUACCCGCGGUACAGCAGACAUAGAGAGGACGCCACCCCUGUAGUCUGAUCACGAUUGAGUUGAGUGGAAUAAUGAACCUCCAGAUAUCUAUGUACAUUCACACGUGUAUGAUUAAACGUGUGCUGCACUCACACAUGCGAGCUUAUUAUAUAUAACGUGUUCGAGUCUUACUUCCUGAAUACUUUCUUGAACUAGUGAAUUAAAAAUUAAAUAAAUUGACUUUCUUC